rnacentral:rRNA from 1 species
UACGUAGGGACCAAGCGUUGUUCGGAUUUACUGGGCGUAAAGGGCGCGUAGGCGGCAUGACAAGUCACUUGUGAAAUCUCCGGGCUUAACUCGGAACGGUCAAGUGAUACUGUCGCGCUAGAGUGCGGAAGGGGCAAUCAGAAUUCUUGGUGUAGCGGUGAAAUGCGCAGAUAUCGGGAGGAACACCAAUUGCGAAGGCAGCUCGCUGGGACGUGACUGACGCUGGGACGCGAAAGCGUGGGGAGCAAACAGG